CAGCCGCCGCGGGAAUACGUAGGUGGCAAGCGUUGUCCGGAAUUAUUGGGCGUAAAGGGCUCGCAGGCGGUUUCUUAAGUCUGAUGUGAAAGCCCCCGGCUCAACCGGGGAGGGUCAUUGGAAACUGGGAAACUUGAGUGCAGAAGAGGAGAGUGGAAUUCCACGUGUAGCGGUGAAAUGCGUAGAGAUGUGGAGGAACACCAGUGGCGAAGACGGCUCUCUGGUCUGUAACUGACGCUGAGGAGCGAAAGCGUGGGGAGCGAACAGGAUUAGAUACCCCCGUAGUCCCUGUCUCUUAUAC
rnacentral:rRNA from 1 species